rnacentral:rRNA from 1 species
GACGAACGCUGGCGGCGUGCCUAAUACAUGCAAGUCGAGCGCAGGAAACUGACGGAACUCUUCGGAGGGAAGGCAGUGGAAUGAGCGGCGGACGGGUGAGUAACACGUAAGGGACCUGCCUCAAGGAUUGGGAUAACUCCGAGAAAUCGGAGCUAAUACCGGAUAGUUCAUCGGACCGCAUGGUCCGCUGAUGAAAGGCGCUCCGGCGUCACCUUGAGAUGGCCUUGCGGUGCAUUAGCUAGUUGGUGGGGUAACGGCCCACCAAGGCGACGAUGCAUAGCCGACCUGAGAGGGUGAUCGGCCACACUGGGACUGAGACACGGCCCAGACUCCUACGGGAGGCAGCAGUAGGGAAUCUUCCACAAUGGACGAAAGUCUGAUGGAGCAACGCCGCGUGAGUGAUGAAGGUUUUCGGAUCGUAAAACUCUGUUGUAAGGGAAGAACACGUACGAGAGGGAAUGCUCGUACCUUGACGGUACCUUACGAGAAAGCCACGGCUAACUAUGUGCCAGCCGCCGCCGUAA